GACGAACGCUGGCGGCGUGCUUAACACAUGCAAGUCGAACGGAAAGGCCCUGCUUUUGUGGGGUGCUCGAGUGGCGAACGCGUGAGUAACACGUGAGUAACCUGCCCUUGACUUUGGGAGAACUUCAGGAAACUGGGGCUAAUAUCGGAUAGGAGCUCCUGAACCAUGGGGGGGGUUGGAAAGUGUCGGCGGUUGGGGAUGGAGUCGCGGCUUAUCAGCUGGUUGGUGGGGUAGUGGAUGACCAAGGCUAUGACGGGUAGCCGGCCUGGGAGGGUGACCGGGCACAGUGGGAUUGGGGAACGACCCAGACUGAUACGUGAGGCAGGGGUGGAAACUAUUGCACGAUGGGCGGAGGCGGGGUGGAGGGACGCCGGGUGGGGGAUGACUGCUUUCGGGUAGGAAACCGCUUUCGCCUGUGACGAAGCGUGAGGACCGGUACUGAGUAAAGAAGCACGGGCUAAUUACGU
rnacentral:rRNA from 1 species